AAAAACCACAAAUUAUAAUACUAUUUUGCAUUUCAAUUUCGAAAUUCAUUAAAGCGUUAAAAACGAAUGUAUCCAAUGUUUUAAAAUUGACACAUUCAUUGCCAUAGAACUGCAAGGCUGAAACUUGUUGUCUGAAUGAAAACCCAUACGCGGUAGCUGUUGAGCAACCCUCUAAUAUCAUCUGGAAUUUGGCCCAAACCUGCUUUAUUCUGUCGGGAAAGGUAUUGGGAAAGAAUACAAUGACAUAAAAAGUGCAAUUGCUAGAGGGGACUGAAAAAUAAUUAACUGAAAAUGGUGAAACUGGACUAUUCCGGAAGCAGUUCGAUGUUUGGUGGGACUAAAAGGCCUUUCAAAUGUACAUAUGUCUCAACAGAUGCGAAUAUCGAUGAUAAAUACAUGAAGGGGAAACAAAUCACAGAACAGAGGAUAAUACUUCAAAGGUUUCGGUUUCAAUGAUGGCUUGUCAAUCAUGAAGGAAUUCGAUGAAGGUUUCACCAGUUCAUUGUCAGUUCGCUUGUUCACUUUUUACAAGUUGAAAGAACGUAUAUGAUGCUUAAUCACAUUAAAGGUAAACAGUUUAAAAUUAGACGGAUUAUAAAGGUCAUUGAAUUUGAAGUUAGAUCAGGAAAAGCAAAUGCCAGUAAACUUAUUUCGCGAAAAAAAUGUUUAAAAUAUUCAGCUUCAAAUUUCACAAUCAGUGUUUUAGAAGAAAUAUUAACAUAGAAAUGGAAACGUUGGCGUAGAGGCGUAAAAAUUUGAUUAAACACAUUUCAUUUUUUUUCUUUGAUUUCGAAUAAUGUUUUUUAAGUUAUCCUAAUUGAUACUUUAAACGGACAAUGCAGACGUUUAUAACAUUUAUGUUUACAUGUUUUCGGGAGUAUUUUGUAAUUUAUACAAAAAUUCAAACAUUUUCAUUAAUGUCGUCAACAGUAAUAUGAGCAUACAUAAUUUAUUUCAAUAAAAUUAAAAAGUUUUUGGAAACAUCUGAA